AUUGAACGCUGGCGGCAUGAUUUACACAUGCAAGUCGAACGGUAACAGGCCGCAAGGUGCUGACGAGUGGCGAACGGGUGAGUAAUGCAUCGGAACGUGCCCAGUCGUGGGGGAUAACUACUCGAAAGAGUAGCUAGUACCGCAUACGAUCUAUGGAUGAAAGCGGGGGACCGUAAGGCCUCGCGCGAUUGGAGCGGCCGAUGUCAGAUUAGGUAGUUGGUGGGGUAAAGGCUCACCAAGCCAACGAUCUGUAGCUGGUCUGAGAGGACGACCAGCCACACUGGGACUGAGACACGGCCCAGACUCCUACGGGAGGCAGCAGUGGGGAAUUUUGGACAAAGGGCGCAAGCCUGAUCCAGCAAUGCCGCGUGCAGGAAGAAGGCCUUCGGGUUGUAAACUGCUUUUGUACGGAACGAAACGGCUCUGGUUAAUACCCGGGGCUAAUGACGGUACCGUAAGAAUAAGCACCGGCUAACUACGUG
rnacentral:rRNA from 1 species